UACGUAGGGCGCAAGCGUUUGUCCGGAAUUAUUGGGCGUAAAGAGCUCGUAGGCGGUUUGUCGCGUCUGCCGUGAAAGCCCGGGGCUUAACUCCGGGUCUGCGGUGGAUACGGGCAGACUAGAGGCAGGUAGGGGAGAACGGAAUUCCCGGUGUAGCGGUGAAAUGCGUAGAUAUCUGGAGGAAUACCGGUGGCGAAGGCGGCAUCCUGGACCGGCAUUGACGCUGAUGAGCGAAAAGCUAGGGGAGCAAACGGGG
rnacentral:rRNA from 1 species